CCCGGAAAUAGAUAAGUGAUCGAGGAGUGUCAGUCAGUCAGGUGAAUGUGACCCGGAAAUAGAUAAGUGAUCGAGGAGUGUCAAGUCAGUAGGUGAAUGUAAAGGUCCUCCCCUCAAUAGUAUAGCCGUGUCCUUCACAGUGGAUUCAAAACUCUUCUUCUGGAAAGUAAAAACCAUAUACGGUAAAGCGGUAUGCUACAACAUGGCUGGACCUAUAAUCCAUCAUUCCUACCCAAGACCUGAAACUCAUGAGGAACCCCCAUUGGCACUCCCAACAGGUUAGUGUGUAUGUCAACUACAUCCUCUGUCCAUGGAGCACUACGUCUCCCAUGGGAUGGAAUGUUUUCAGGUCCCCUGGAUACAGGUCAUUAGGUCUAAAAUGUCUAGCUUUAUUAGUUAUUGGACGCUUGUAAAAAGUCAUUUGCCUGAUGAACUUACGAGGGGUUUUCAUACAAACGCCAUGUUUCCUCAUCGCCCUCCGAAAGAUUAGUCAGUGGUCUGUUCUGUUGUAGUUGACUGACUCGAUUCUAAACCGCUUCCUUUCCUGCCUCUCCUCCCUGAUUGGACGGGACACUUGAUGAAAGCAAUAGGUUAGCAGCGUAAAUUGUAAACACAAGUCUACUUUGAAGAUGCCUCUGGGUCAGCAUACUAUGGGGACAGUAUCACCAAUGCUACAAUCCCAUUUUUAUUUUUUAUUUUUUUAAACAGCAAGUCAAGAAGAAUUGUCAAAAAAUUUCACCAGAAAAAAAAAUACUAUGCAGUUUUUGUACAAAUGGCUUUUUUUUCUUUAUUGAAAGGUCACCCCAAUCCACAGCCGUCCCCCCCGUCAGUGAUCCACAGCCCCCCCCCCACUGUCUUGUCAGUGCAAUCCAAUCCAUAACCAUCUUGUAGUGGAGCCCAUUUCCUGUCCUUCUCCUGUUCCACUGGAAUGUUCUUCUGUAUGGAUAUAACAAUCUAACGACACACACACACACACACACACAGACACAGUCACACACACACACACACACAGUCACACAC
ensembl:lncRNA